rnacentral:rRNA from 1 species
CCUACGGGGGGCUGCAGUGGGGAAUAUUGGACAAUGGGGGGAACCCUGAUCCAGCCAUGCCGCGUGUGUGAAGAAGGCCCUCGGGUUGUAAAGCACUUUCAGUGAGGAAGAACGCCUGGUGGUGAAUACCCAUCAGGAAAGACAUCACUCACAGAAGAAGCACCGGCUAACUCCGUGCCAGCAGCCGCGGUAAUACGGAGGGUGCGAGCGUUAAUCGGAAUUACUGGGCGUAAAGCGCGCGUAGGUGGCUUGAUAAGCCGGUUGUGAAAGCCCCGGGCUCAACCUGGGAACGGCAUCCGGAACUGUCAAGCUAGAGUGCAGGAGAGGAAGGUAGAAUUCCCGGUGUAGCGGUGAAAUGCGUAGAGAUCGGGAGGAAUACCAGUGGCGAAGGCGGCCUUCUGGACUGACACUGACACUGAGGUGCGAAAGCGUGGGUAGCAAACAGGAUUAGAUACCCGGGUAGUC